rnacentral:rRNA from 1 species
AUUGAACGCUGGCGGCAUGCUUUACACAUGCAAGUCGAACGGCAGCGCGGGCUUCGGCCUGGCGGCGAGUGGCGAACGGGUGAGUAAUACAUCGGAACGUGCCCAGUAGUGGGGGAUAGCUCGGCGAAAGCCGGAUUAAUACCGCAUACGACCUGAGGGUGAAAGCGGGGGAUCUUCGGACCUCGCGCUAUUGGAGCGGCCGAUGGCAGAUUAGCUAGUUGGUGGGGUAAAGGCCUACCAAGGCGACGAUCUGUAGCUGGUCUGAGAGGACGACCAGCCACACUGGGACUGAGACACGGCCCAGACUCCUACGGGAGGCAGCAGUGGGGAAUUUUGGACAAUGGGCGAAAGCCUGAUCCAGCAAUGCCGCGUGUGUGAUGAAGGCCUUCGGGUUGUAAAGCACUUUUGGCGGGAACGAAAAGGACCGUGCCAAUACCACGGUUCGAUGACGGUACCCGCAGAAUAAGCACCGGCUAACUACGUG